rnacentral:rRNA from 1 species
GACGAACGCUGGCGGCGUGCCUAAUACAUGCAAGUCGAACGCAGUGGGGACGGGUGAGUAACACGUGGGUAACCUCCCAUCAGAGGGGAUAACCCUUGGAAACAGGUGCUAAACCGAUACUGAUGGAUGGACCCGCGGUGCAUUAGCUAGUUGGUGGGGUAACGGCUCACCAAGGCCACGAGGCAUAGCCGACCUGAGAGGGGGGUCGGCCACACUGGGACUGAGACACGGCCCAGACUCCUACGGGAGGCAGCAGUAGGGAAUGUUGGGCAAUGGACGAAAGUCUGACACAGCAAGGCCGCGUGAGUGAAGAAGGUUUUCGGAGCGUAAAACUCUGUUGUUAGGGAAGCGGUAUCGAAAGAGAAAGCCACGGCUAACUACGUGCCAGCCGCCGCGGUAAUAC